AGAGUUUGAUCCUGGCUCAGAUUGAACGCUGGCGGCAUGCCUUACACAUGCAAGUCGAACGGCAGCACGGGAGCAAUCCUGGUGGCGAGUGGCGAACGGGUGAGUAAUGUAUCGGAACGUACCUUUCAGUGGGGGAUAACGUAGCGAAAGUUACGCUAAUACCGCAUAUUCUGUGAGCAGGAAAGCAGGGGAUCGCAAGACCUUGCGCUGAUUGAGCGGCCGAUAUCAGAUUAGCUAGUUGGUGAGGUAAAGGCUCACCAAGGCGACGAUCUGUAGCGGGUCUGAGAGGAUGAUCCGCCACACUGGAACUGAGACACGGUCCAGACUCCUACGGGAGGCAGCAGUGGGGAAUUUUGGACAAUGGGGGCAACCCUGAUCCAGCCAUGCCGCGUGAGUGAAGAAGGCCUUCGGGUUGUAAAGCUCUUUCAGCCGGGAAGAA
rnacentral:rRNA from 1 species